rnacentral:rRNA from 1 species
UCCCACCUGACUCCAUACCGAACUCAGAAGUGAAACGCAGUAACGCCGAUGGUAGUGUGGGGUUUCCCCAUGUGAGAGUAGGGCAACAUCAGG